CUCAAUGCAAAUAAUAGCUCUACCUUCUGAAGACUUAUCGUGUGUUCUAAAUGUUCUACAGAGGCUGUCUCCGCAAGCCUCCCAGCCCUGUGAGGUCAACACAGCCACUGUCCUUGUUUUACGGAGGCUCAGCCACCUGCCACCAGGAUUUCAUCUAGAAAGAACUAAGGUCUAAAUCUGAUAUUUGAAGAAUCCAAGGGAUUAAGCAGAUCACUGUUCAUUACCUGCAAGAAAUGCUUAAGCAGUUCUGAGCAAACAAAGUGACUGUAGAUGGAUAAUUAUAAUCCUGAGAUCACAGAUCUACAAAACUGCCUGGCAUUCCACUAACCAGUGAGGAGCAAAGGGCACAGGUUUUCAUCCUUCCAGAGGGCUGGACCCUCUGGUCCCCACCUGGAUUCUCGGGGAAGCUCCUUGCCAAAGAGGGGUGGGGGGACCAGGACUUGGAAUGUUUGCCUGGUGACCAUUUUGUCACAUUAUUCAUCUUUCCUGCCUGCCAACACUGGGAGUCCCUGCUUCAGGUCCCUGUUGAUGCCAGGCCCCCAAGCAGACCCUGGUGACACACGCGGAGCGAGCCAUCUGUACGUGGGACCAUGUGGCUGCAUGUUUGGUCCUGCCCCCUGCCCCGGGGUGCACUGCAACUCCAACCACAGGACAAUGCUGGUGCCCUGCCUGUCCAGUGUCU